rnacentral:rRNA from 1 species
AUACUUGUAUUUUUUCAUAUGUUCCUCCUAUUUAAAAACCUGCAUUAGUGCUCUUAAACGAGUGUUAUUGUGGCCGUACUAUUACUUUGAACAAAUUAGAGUGCUUAAAGCAGGCUUCAAAUGCCUGAAUAUUCUGUGCAUGGAUAAUGAAAUAAGACCUCUGUUCUGCUUUCAUUGGUUUUCAGAUCAAGAGGUAAUGAUUAAUAGAAGCAGUUUGGGGCUUAGUAUUACGACGCGAGAGGUGAAAUUCUUGGACCGUCGUAAGACUAACUUAAGCGAAAGCAUUUGCCAAAGAUGUUUUCAUUAAUCAAGAACGAAAGUUAGAGGUUCGAAGCGAUCAGAUACCGCCCUAGUUCUAACCAUAACGAUGCCAGCUAGCAAUUGGGUGUAGCUACUUUUAUGGCUCUCUCAGUCGCUUCCGGGAAACCAAAGCUUUUGGCUCCGGGGAAGUAUGGUUCAAAGCUGAAACUUAAAGGAAUUGACGGAAGGCACCACCAGGAGUGGAGCUGCGGCUUAAUUUGACUCAACACGGGAAAACUUACCAGUCCGAACAUAAGUGUGUAAGACAGAUUGAUAGCUCUUUCUCGAAUCUAUGGUGGUGGUGCAUGGCCGUUCUUAGUUCGUGGAGUGAUUUGUCUGGUUAAUUCCGAUAACGAACGAGACUCAAAUAUAUUAAAUAGAUAUCUUCAGGAUUAUGGUGCUGAAGCUUAUGUAGCCUUCAUUCAUGUUGGCAGUAAAAUGCUUAUUGUGUUUGAAUGUGUUUAUGUAAGUGGAGCCGUACCUGUUGGUUUGUCCCAUUAUAAGGACACUAGCUUCUUAAAUGGACAAAUUGCGUCUAGCAAUAAUGAGAUUGAGCAAUAACAGGUCUGUGAUGCCCUUAGAUGUCCUGGGCUGCACGCGCGCUACAAUGAAAGUAUCAACGUGUAUUUCCUAGACCGAGAGGUCCGGGUAAACCGCUGAACCACUUUCAUGCUUGGAUUGUGAACUGAAAACUGUUCACAUGAACUUGGAAUUCCCAGUAAGUGUGAGUCAUUAACUCGCAUUGAUUACGUCCCUGCCCUUUGUACACACCGCCCGUCGCUACUACCGAUUGAAUUAUUUAGUGAGGUCUCCGGACGUGAUCACUGUGACGCCUUGCGUGUUACGGUUGUUUCGCAAAAGUUGACCGAACUUGAUUAUUUAGAGGAAGUAAAAAGUCGUAACAAGGUUUCCGUAGGUGAACCUGCGGAAG